AUUGAACGCUGGCGGCAGGCCUAACACAUGCAAGUCGAGCGAGCGGCGGACGGGUGCGUAAUGGCUGGGAACCUGCCUGAUGGAGGGGGAUAACUACUGGAAAAGGUUGCUAAUACCGCAUAACAUCAGAUGUGCCCAGAUGGAAUUAGCUAGUAGCUGGGGUAACGGCCAAACUAGGCGACGAUCCAUAGCUGGUCUGAGAGGAUGAACAGCCACACGGGAACUGAGAACCGGUCCAGACUCCUACGGGAGGCAGCAGUGGGGAAUAGUGCACAAUGGGCGCAAGCCUGAUGCAGCCAUGCCGCGUGUGUGAAGAAGGCCUUCGGGUUGUAAAGCACUUUCAUCGGGGAGGCGUUACCCGCAGAAGAAGCACCGGCUAACUCCGUGCCAGCAGCCGCGGUAAUUC
rnacentral:rRNA from 1 species